rnacentral:lncRNA from 1 species
CUCACUGGCACGCCCCGGGGUGGGCAAAGACUUGGCGCGAACACACUCUUGCACAUGCGCACACAGCUAGCUUCCUGAAAGGAAGUCGGGCUGGCGCAGCGGAAGCCAGCGCCAUCUUGUAAUGGCGAAUGCUAUCGCGGCUUUCCACAGAAAUUAACCUCAAUGAUAAUGGGCUUUAGUGUUCUUUAAAAACAACAAAAAAGUGUCUAUUGAUUCAUUUAAUAUUGAUUGACUACUUAGGUGUUAAUAUCUGAUCUUGCUAUUUUUCAACUUAGAAUGAUAUUGACAACAAAUUACUAAACUAUGGGAGCCAAAAGAAGUCAGUAACCUGUCUGUAUGGCUACAGCUGCAAUGUAAGGCAUGGCUGGAGACGAAGAAGAGACUAUUCAGUGUAAGGAAGAGUUGUAAAAAAUUGCUCUAUUCUUCUUUCUAUAUGACUUUCCUUCUAGUGUGG